GACAGAGGUGCCAAGCGUUAGGCGGAAUCACUGGGCUUAAAGCGUGUGUAGGCGGAUCGUUAAGUACCUUGUGAAAUCCCACGGCUCAACCGUGGAACUGCUGGGUAUACUGGCGGUCUUGAGCCACCUAGGGGCGAGCGGAACAAACGGUGGAGCGGUGAAAUGCGUAGAUAUCGUUUGGAACGCCAAUGGUGAAAACAGGUUGCUGGGAGUGUGCUGACGCUGAGACACGAAAGCCAGGGGAGCGAACGGG
rnacentral:rRNA from 1 species